GGCGCGGCGGCAGCUCCGGGAUGCUGGGGCCGGCUCCGAGCGCCGAAACUUUCCCGUUUCCCGUGGCGCUGCAGCGGGUUUUGGGCUUUUUCGCUCGUUCGUGGUUGGGUCGGCAGCUGGCUAGCUGACUCAAAGGACAAAGAAUCAGACUGACGCUCUGGCAUCCCAAGGUUGCACCCGAGCCGUGCAUGUGGAAAUGAAGAAGCAAACUCUGGCUGAGGCAGGAACACUUGGCAGCUCAGCAGAGGGUACGUGAGAAAAAAAAACAAGGGUCCCUGCCUCCUGCGGCUGAAAGAACGGCAUGUCCAGAGCAGAAAGCUAUCAAACUCCUCGGAUGUGCUCAGUGGGAGAUCAUGCAAACUUCUGGACCCGUUUCAAGGUGCCUCGGUUUGCAACUCCACGCAUGCAUCCAUUUUCAGGAGCAUGCAGCUGUAAGCAAACACAGAGAUGCUGGCUGGCGCUGAUGCCAGGCAAGACCGAGCGGAUGCUAACAGUGAAAAGCACGACGGAAAAUCUACCUCUUCUCUAGCAUCCUCUACCGUCCAGAGGAUCUGCCCUUGUAUUGUCAGAUCGACUGCACUACUGCUGCUUUUUAGGGUUGCUCAGUGACACUGGAUGCCCGAAGAGAUAUCAGGCAGGGAACAAAUCUCAUCCUAUGGCUGCAGUUUCCCUCCUGAAAGAUGUACCAGAAGUUAUAUGCUAAAAAUCUUUAGACCCAAAUACUUGUGACAAGUGAUUUUAACAGCUGCAUUAACUUAGCUCCUAGCCAGCAAUCUUAUGCUAAUCUUGUACAGUCUCUUCAAGAUGAAAUGCUCUAUUGGUGUUAUGUAUUAUUUCUGAUAAAUUUCUAAUUAGAACAAUAACACUGGCCAUGAUCAGGCUUUUUUAAAUCAUCUCAGUAUGUAAGAAAUGUAAGACCAAGACCAAUUUGAUAAUAUAGCAAAACGGCUAAUGGAACAUUAUGUCACUGCAGCCACACGAUGGAUCUCCCCAUCAUACUAUAUUUUAUGUACAUGUGAGGCUGCCAAAAUCCUUUGUCCUGUGCUGUGCAUUUCCUGGUAGCACGCCAGUACAUGACCGCAGGUGAUGGCACAGUUUCAAAUGGGAUAGUUUGGGCCAGAAACGAUGCACUGUUUCCACAAGGGACUCACUGCAGCCUCCCAGCCUCCUGAAAAAUUUCUCCACUCCUCCCACUGCUUCUGUGCUUCCAGGUCCCUAACCUUCCCCUUGCUUCUCUGUCCUGGUUUGCAGCGCUCCUAAAUCUUGUGCCAGCCACCUAAACUGGGAGCAAAGGACAGUGAAGAACACGUAUGCUGGAAGUGACUGCUGGCUUACCCACUUCUUUUCUGCAAACCCAGCUCCCUCCUUUUUCACUAGCUCCGCAAGGCUAUUUUUCUUCAUUAGCUAUGGUUAAGGCAACCUGACCAGGAGCUGCGGCACUACUGGUGCCUGAGGUCAAUUCAUCCCCAUCUUUCCCUACCUGUUCUUAAUUACUUUUUGUUCUUUUUUUUUUUUUUAUAAACAUCCUAAUAAUGAAUUUCAAUAAUGAAUUAGCAAUCGUGUUUAUUAUAUUAUUUUCAAAAAUUAAAAAAAUUUAAUAGAUCAAAUUUGAACUAGAUUUAUUGAAUAAAGGUAAUUAGUUUUGUUGUUUGUAUAAGAAUAUUAAAAGCACCAGUUGCUCCAUACUGAUGGCAUUGUUUGUGACUCAGCACUGUCACCAGUUUCCAGUUGGGGAAACUAUUUAGCUUCCCUGAUCUUUUCAAAAUAUAAGGUGCUGUCUGAAUUGCAUGGAGACAGAACCAGUCUACAUAAAAUAAUUCAGGCCAGUUUGUUGCUAUAAUUUUGUUUCUAAAUGUUUUUUUGUCUUCUCUUUAAAACUUUCAAGAGAAGUGUCCUGUCAAACUACAAGUACCCUAAAUGUCAAAAAAGAUAUUACACUGUUGCAUGAAUGUUUACAGAUGUUUGAGACAAAGCACUCAUUCCUGCUCUUCCUUCUCAUGUAAAAUCCCAUACAGUUCAGCAGUUUCAUUUGGAAACAAAAGUAUAGUCCUUGUAUUCUCUGAAAUAAGGUUGUCUGUUUGAAGGGUAGUAGACCAUAGUAAAUUUCAAUGCAACUGGCAAUGUAUGUGUUUUACAUCUGAGGUUGACUACUGUAAUACUCAUUUAUUCAGUCUCUAUUUAAAUGCAACUGCCCUCUAAACAGAGGGUGAGUAAAAAAAAAACAAAAACAAAAACAAAAACAGCAUGAGAUUGCAUUACAUUGAUUCUAAUUCAGUCUAUUUUAAAAAUGCACCAUUUACAAAUAAGAAGGUAUUUUGGCUUUUUUCUUCUUGUUGACGACUCAGUGAGUCUAGCUCAGAGUUAUAGCUCUAACAUCAAGCUGAAUCUUCAAGCUUAGCAAGAUUAUUCCAUAAUUUAGAAUGAGUUUUGAAAUUCUGAAGGACAAAAUAACCCUCAGUUAUUGGUACACAACCUCAGUUUGGUGAAAUCGUAUCUUUGGUUAUUCCCAUGCAACUUGAGCAGCCACAUGAAACUGAGAAAAGAAUUUGGAGGGGAAAAAA